GUGAAAGGUGCUACUCAUCAUGGAAACUACAGUCUUCAGUUUAUCCACAAAAGAGGUACAGCAGUCACAGGCCAUGAAGACUUCCCCACACUGCCUCGCCAAUGUGCCUCAAUACUGCCCUGGAACAAAUUUACAGGGCUACCGUCAGUUCAGUUUUGAAGCCCAAUCAAUCUGUGGUCUAU
rnacentral:sRNA from 1 species